AGGACGAACGCUGGCGGCGUGCUUAACACAUGCAAGUCGAACGGAAAGGCCCGCUUGCGGGUACUCGAGUGGCGAACGGGUGAGUAACACGUGGGCAACCUGCCCUCAGCUUCGGGAUAACACUUGGAAACAGGUGCUAAUACCGGAUAAUAACCUUUCAUCGCAUGGUGUGGGGUUCAAAGUUUUUCGGCUGGGGAUGGGCCCGCGGCCUAUCAGCUUGUUGGUGGGGUAAUGGCCUACCAAGGCGACGACGGGUAGCCGGCCUGAGAGGGCGACCGGCCACACUGGGACUGAGACACGGCCCAGACUCCUACGGGAGGCAGCAGUGGGAAUAUUGCGCAAUGGGCGGAAGCCUGACGCAGCGACGCCGCGUGAGGGAUGACGGCCUUCGGGUUGUAAACCUCUUCAGCUCUGACGAAGCGCAAGUGACGGUAGGAGCAGAAGAAGCACCGGCCAACUACGUGCCAGCAGCCGC
rnacentral:rRNA from 1 species